AACGAACGCUGGCGGCAUGCCUAACACAUGCAAGUCGAACGAGACCUUCGGGUCUAGUGGCGCACGGGUGCGUAACGCGUGGGAACCUGCCCUUAGGUUCGGAAUAACUCCCCGAAAGGGGUGCUAAUACCGGAUAAUGUCUUCGGACCAAAGAUUUAUCGCCUUUGGAUGGGCCGGCGUUGGAUUAGCUAGUUGGUCGGGUAAAAGCCUACCAAGGCGACGAUCCAUAGCUGGUCGGAGAGGAUGAUCAGCGACACUGGGACUGAGACACGGCCCAGACUCCUACGGGAGGAAGCAGUGGGGAAUAUUGGACAAGGGGCGAAAGCCUGAUCAAGCAAGGCCGCGUGAGUGAUGAAGGCCUUAGGGUUGUAAAGCUCUUUUACCCGGGAUGAUAAUGACAGUACCGGGAGAAUAAGCUCCGGCUAACUACGUG
rnacentral:rRNA from 1 species